rnacentral:rRNA from 1 species
GAUGAACGCUGGCGGCGUGCCUAAUACAUGCAAGUCGAGCGAACAGACGAGGAGCUUGCUCCUCUGACGUUAGCGGCGGACGGGUGAGUAACACGUGGAUAACCUACCUAUAAGACUGGGAUAACUUCGGGAAACCGGAGCUAAUACCGGAUAAUAUAUUGAACCGCAUGGUUCAAUAGUGAAAGACGGUUUUGCUGUCACUUAUAGAUGGAUCCGCGCCGCAUUAGCUAGUUGGUAAGGUAACGGCUUACCAAGGCAACGAUGCGUAGCCGACCUGAGAGGGUGAUCGGCCACACUGGAACUGAGACACGGUCCAGACUCCUACGGGAGGCAGCAGUAGGGAAUCUUCGGCAAAGGGCGAAAGCCUGACGGAGCAACGCCGCGUGAGUGAUGAAGGUCUUCGGAUCGUAAAACUCUGUUAUUAGGGAAGAACAAAUGUGGAAGUAUCUAUGCACGUCUUGACGGUACCUAAUCAGAAAGCCACGGCUAACUACGUG